GACGAACGCUGGCGGCGUGCUUAACACAUGCAAGUCGAACGGAAAGGCCCUGCUUUUGUGGGGUGCUCGAGUGGCGAACGGGUGAGUAACACGUGAGUAACCUGCCCUUGACUUUGGGAUAACUUCAGGAAACUGGGGCUAAUACCGGAUAGGAGCUCCUGCUGCAUGGUGGGGGUUGGAAAGUUUCGGCGGUUGGGGAUGGACUCGCGGCUUAUCAGCUUGUUGGUGGGGUAGUGGCUUACCAAGGCUUUGACGGGUAGCCGGCCUGAGAGGGUGACCGGCCACAUUGGGACUGAGAUACGGCCCAGACUCCUACGGGAGGCAGCAGUGGGGAGUAUUGCAUAAUGGGCGGAAGCCUGAUGCAGCAACGCCGCGUGCGGGAUGACGGCCUUCGGGUUGUAAACCGCUUUCGCCUGUGACGAAGCGUGAGUGACGGUAAUGGGUAAAGAAGCACCGGCUAACUACGUG
rnacentral:rRNA from 1 species